UUCCCCCAACUUCUUCCCUUUUCUCCUCUUCUCCCUCCCCUUUUUCCCUCUCUAUUUUUUACCCUUCCAUCCCCAACUCUAACACUCCCCGUGCCGGACAGGGCAGGGAGCAGGGACCGGGUGUAGCAGCCAGACGAGGCCGACAACUUGCAGGUAGCCCCGGGGAUGGGCGAGGACGGGGGAAGGACACCGGCUCAGCUCCCUCCUGCCAGGGCCGGGCGUUCAGAACGCCUUCAUGCUUUCACCCAAACGGGCCCUGCUCUUUGCAAAGCAGGCGACAAGAAAGCCCUCGAAAUGCCAUUUACCCUACAGAUUUCUGCAGCCGGAGCCUUGCUGCUGCCAGCAAUCUGCUUGCACGGUCAGUGCAAGAACAGCUGGGACAGGACUGAGUUCUGACAGGUUUUUCACUCGCACAAGCAAUGCAAAGAUUGAAGCUUUCCUUUGCCUGGCUGGAAAGCAGACAGCUACUCCAGUGCCCAGCAGUGAUUCCCCUUCCCACCCCAUUGCCCAGCAGGGGUUUCUUUUCCCACCCCACCACCGACAGCACCAACACUGAAGGAGGCUGGGGACCUGAGAUGCUUUGCAGCCAGCCUUCUGCACGGCAGGGAAGCAGCCUGUGGUGUGUGUGCACUUGCACUCACCUUCACCGCCCUUUCUUGAUUUUAAUAACAGCACAGGGGAUCAGUGUCAAGGACAGAUGGGGCCAACCUCUGAGCUGUGCUGAGCGCGCUGCUGCCUUGUGUGCGUCCCCUGUGAAACCCCAGAUCCCCAUCUCUGAUUGCCUCUUUGUGUCUGUACUUGUGUGCAAUACCUGCGUUACGCUUCAGUAGACUCGGGAGCGGGCAGAAGUGCUAUCUCUGCCUCAAGGAUAUUUGAGAAGAUGCUUCUCUGGGAUGGAUCCUUUUAGGAAAAAAAAAAAUUGUUAAAACAUUUCGGGAAAGCUGAAGAAUGAAUGAAUUUGUGGAGCUUUCUGAGGGAUGCACAUCGGUGCCAUCCUAAAGGUGAACACUCAUCCCACCCUGCAGGACCCUGGCAAUCGCUAUCCAGCACUGAGCCAUGCUACAGUGUUCUGGUCCUCCAAAGCAUCCCUCCCUUUGCUGUUGCUCUGCACUACUGCGAAAUUACAGGCUGCAGAUGGGGGGCUGAAAGCAGCAGCUCUGCUUCAGGGAGGCAGUGGGAUGGGGCAGAAGGUGAGGCUGAUAUUGCAAGAGGUUGCCAGGACUUUCUGUUCCCUCCGGGUCCAAUCCAAGGCGUCGUUAGCAAACUAAUAAACCGGCUGCAGAUGUUGAGCCAACAGCAGGGCACGUUCCUCAGGAGCAUCCCUGAAAACUCUUGGGUUUGGGAAGUGAUCAGCUCAUCCCUGUGUUUCUCUUUGUGCUCUUUGCCACUCUCUGCACCACUUCUUCCCUCCUGCCUGGAAUUUUAGGGGAAAAGAAGAAAAAAUAGAAACAGGAAACAAAACAGGAUCUUCCUCAAAUCACUUUUUCCAAGCUUCUUUAUUUUCUUGAUAUUGCAGUGGAUGGAGCUCUGUGACCCUACUGUUUCUCUUAGAAAAUAGAAGUAUCUGUGCCAGCCGCAGCUCUGCCAGCACUGGGUGGCUCUGGCAAUUGGCAAACACCAAUGCCAUAUCCAUACCCCACUGACCCCAUCAGAUCCCACAAGGCUGGUGUGGGUACAACUGCAGUGAUGCUGUAGGAAGCAGGUGCUGCCCUGCAUGGGACCCAAUCCAGGUCCUUGGGGGCAGGAAUACAUCAGGGCUGGAGUUUCAUCAGGAAUAGGAGUCCACCAUGCCCAGGUGGGGCUGUGCCUGCUGAAGUGCCUCUUAACCUUUCCUAUACCCCGCUAGCGAGGGAAAAAACGCACGAGGGGAUCCUGCCUGUUCCCUUGCCCCUGAAGGGAGAAAAGAGAAAGAUCCCCGAGCCUGGUGCUCUACCCCCAAAGCCCAUCUCCAGGCAGAGGGAGAGGCAGCGUGCUCACUACUUUCUGCCUCUAGCUCUGCUUUUUGUGCUGCCCCAGGUACCGGCCCCAGCGCAUCCCCUGCUGCAGUAGCGCUCCUCCUGCACGGAGCAGCACAUUUCCCCCGAGUUACUUAUUAACCACCAUUCGUUUGACAGGAUCGAUAUUUCAAGCUAGGGAGUAAACACUUAAGAAGUAAUGCUCCUCUCUGCUCUCUUUUUCCUCAGCAAAAUGAUUUAUUUUAUAAAAUGCAUCUGCCUGGCAGGGAGGCUGGAGCCCCGCGGCGUUUAUCCGCGGGAUAUGCAAAGCGCAUUUAUUUCCUCUUUUAUCUCUCAUAUUGCGCGUUGAUCCCAUACAUAUAGAUUGAUUUUGUUCAGGUAGAUAAUGAAAAGUCAAGUGGAAAAUUUACACAAAGGCACUCAGGAUCUCCACUUUCUAUUGGUAUAUAAAUUGGUUUAUUACUUCAUUCCCUUAAACAGCGACUUUCACGCUGGGGAACACUUUAAAAUAUAUCAUGUUUAAACACAGAGCCGUUUACCUUCCGUGUGGUUUCUCUUUUUCCAUCGGUAAUUUCCUCGCUACUUUUGCUAAUUACCGAAGAUAUUUGUGUUUAAACAAGGGCCCCACCAGCAGCAAUCCGUCUGCCUCCUCCUCCAGCUCCCAGCAUCAAACCACCCCAACCAGAGCUCCGGGCUCUGGGCACAGAGAUGGUGACAAAGCCUGGCAGCGGGCUCUAAUUCCCCGUAAGCGGCUUUGGCUUUGCCAGCCCAAGGCAGUGAAUGGAGGGCACUGGACAGGAGAGAGCAGCUCGGAACAAAACAGGCAGGAAACGUUAUUAAUAAACAUCUUCUGGACAUUUGGUGGCUCAUCUAGGCUGCUCCAGCUUAAAGCAAUUAAUUCAGGAUACUGACAUAAACUCUCCAGCUCUUUGACAGCUUGGAGCUGAAAUAAAAAUGCUAGUUCUCCAGGGAAAAGGAGAGGAUAGUUGGCUCUUUUCUGGACUGUUUGCUUAUAGGCCCAGAGAGCAAUCUUCCUUGCAGAAUGAAAUGCAAGGACACAAACAAUGUACCGGAGAGAGAAUAGAAGAUGGGAAUGAACAGUUUGAACUAUUUGCUCAGCAGAAGGGCAGCCACAAUGCUCAACCAAUGGCUUUCCCAUGCAUCAACCGGGCUUCUUAGGCCCUUUUGUUGUUCAUCCUCUUCCUCUGACCAGAUAAGAGCACAGCUGCACGGCCGUCGACUUAGCCACGCAAAUCUGGUGCCGCGCGGAGCCGCGUCCCCGCGGAGCUCGAGGACAAGGUGACACCGGGCAGUGGCACAUCCAGCAGCCCCCGCAACCAGUGCCACCUCCCCACAACCAGGCUGCAGUCCCCUGCCCUCUCCUUGCCCCCUUCCUGCCUCCUUUGCCCGUUGCUCAGGCGCUGCUAUGUUGCUCCGACCCAAAUGCCAGCUCCAACAGUGAUGCUACGCCGCUUUGUGCCGCCCCGGGCUGGGAUUCGGUGAGCAAGGCUGGAACAAGGUUUGUUUAGCUUGAAAGAGUUUGACGAGGUGAAAAGGCAAAGCGCUGAGGACUAAAGAAAACGCCUGCCUGGCUGAAAUCACACGGAGCACUCGUCGUCAAAGAGCACACCUGCAGGAAGCACCGAGUUUAAACACUGCUGUCACAAAAACCUGAGAAACCUCCGGGUAUUUUAUUGUGUUUUUUUUGUUUUGUUUUUUGUCUCUUUUCCCCCUUCUCCCCUACUGGGUGGUCAGGAGAGCAGGAGGGCUCCCAUUGUCUGCAGAGCUGACCCCACGUGUCCCUGCCAUGCCAGCACCUGGCCAACACCAAAACGCCCCAAUCCAGCCCCAGUCUCCAGCCCAGCGCCCUGCAUCGGGCUGCUUAAUGAGACCCUAACAAGGUGCAGCCUUAAUUUCCAAAACGCUGCAACACAGACAAAGGGAAAGUGCAGUCAGCUCCGAGUAAUUUGUGCCUCGCUCCCGGUGAAUGAAUUUAGGGGAGCAAAUAUCGUUAUGCGGGAUUUAAAUUAAAGUUGACACUAAUGUAAAUACGGCAAUGCAACCGGCUGUUUAAGAAAUGUGAUGAGGGUACAGUUUUAAUCAGGUCCUUUUAACUCGGGUGGCAUUUUAAAUCCUCGCUGGUUCAAUUGGAUAGCAGUCCCGGAGGAUGUCCUGGAGUGGGAUGGUGAGGGAUGGUUGUUCCCGGAGCUCACCUGGUGAGCAGUGAGCGCAGUGCUGGACGCUGCAGAUGGAUGGACCCCCCUGCCAAGGGCUGAGUAACAAAGGCAGAGGCGGCAGCUAAAAGGGUUGGUAAUAAAUUCUUGCGGGGUUGGUCAGCGCCUGCCAGAUUUCCCCCGGCGCUCUUGAACAAUCUGCUUCCAGCCUAAAUCAUAGAGCCGGAGCUUGAGAGGAAAAAGGAAAAAGGAAAAAAGAAAAGAGGAAAGAGCGGUGACCGCCUCACCUACUUCAAAGCCUGAAGAGCGCAGAGGUGCUUCACAAUAACAAUAGCGCUGGAUGCAGCCUGGAGGAGCUCCAUAACAGGAGCUCUGUAACCUGGCAAGACCCAGAGUUACGGUUACCAGAACAAUAUUUGGCAAGGGAAUUCUUCUGGUUCUUUUUUUGUCAAAGGGAACAUAAUGCCACUGGCAGGGACACAGUGCCAGCACGGUGCUGCGCUGGGUUCAGGCUGCAGCAGUGUCUGGUUUUUCUAGGAGGGGGUCCAAUACCUAAUAAUAAUAAUAAUUAUUAUCAUAUCAUGAACAACUACUUUGAGGAAGAAAGAAAUCCUCUCUUGAGGUUUUCAGACAGCUGGUUGCCUCCAUGCAUGCAGGAUGUUCGUGCUGAGCUCAUGUGAAGUUGAGGGUUAAGGUGAGGGGUAGAGUCAGGGCCCCAUGUUAACCCAAAGUUUCCCUGGCUCCUGGCCCCGCUCCGAGCUGCAGAGCCCUGCCUGUCUCUGCAGGGUAUUGCAUCUUCUGGGAGCUGUCCUAAUCCUCCCGUGUGACUCAGCGCCAUCAAAAUACCAAUGAGAAUAAUAAAAUGGGUUCUAAUGCUAUUAGGUAUUCCCCUUAGCUAUCCUGGCUACCCAAGGAGGAUGAAGUGGGAUUGGGAAGGGAGAGGGGAUGCAAUGGGCAUGGGCAAGGGAGGAUCCUGCAGCUGGCCAUUGGGCUGGAGCUAGGAUUUGGGGGAAGGAAGUGGCUUCUCACCCAGGUUUUGUUCUGCAGUGGAUCCUAGGUGGGGUGAUCCUACCCGCAGCCCCCCCCACCAGCCCCUGCCCUUUGCACAGAUGCCUAUGUCCACAAACCCCCCUAAGCACUUAAUGAGCUCCGAGACGCCUAUUGUCUUGGCAAAGCUGAUUGAAACGGGCGAGGAGUUCAAGGGUUAGGAAGGGAGGGCUGAAGGGAGGCAGACACCCGGUGACACCGGGCUGCCCGGCCAGCAAAUGGGCUCAGCUCUCACGUCGGUGCAGCAGCGCAGCACACACUGUGUCCAACACCCAUCGCAUCCCAACAAACUGCUGGGUGCUGAGCCCUGGCUGUGCUGCGGGUUAUCUGCCUUUAGCACAAAGCUGGGACGAAGUCUGCAUUGCCCAAUGCAGUGCAGGAGUGGGCCUUGGACCCAGCCCUGUGUCAGCAGACCUCCCGGCCCUGCUCUGCUCGCUGACAGCCAGUGUUUUUUUACUCCUUGAGACUGUCAGGAAUGUUUUUCAUGCAGGAGUGUAGUGCAUUCAGCAUACUGAAACCGCCUUAAUCUCAGCAAGACCAACAAAGAUAAGGAAUAGCGUUUAAGUUGGCCGAAAUUAGCAAAUGCAUCUGCUGCACAAUGCCCCUGUUACCAUUAGCUGUGACCGGUGAAUGGCACUAGCAAAGUAUGCUGGCAAUGUUUAACAAACCAUCCGUCUUUUACCUGUUCCUACUCAACAGAAACCUUUGUUUGAACCACGGGCCUAUUCAGUCCUGCUGCUGUCUGCUUAUCAGCAAGAUUAAUCUCCGAGGUAUCACUAUAUUAAUUUUAAAACCUGCUUUUAUUACCACGAGCCCUCUGCUCGGGAGGAGAGGAGGUAUUUCUGCCCCUGCUGGGCAAGCCGGGCUCCGUGUUUGCCAAGCUACACCGCCACCAUGACUCAUCCCUGCUACGUGCACCCAUGUCACAGUGCAAACACAUCAUGGCAGAUCCCUUGCCACUGGCCUCAGGCUCUUUUUGGGAGGGCAUAGUUUCCAUAUUCAGCAUGGCUCGCAUCACCAAGGACAGUGGCUUGGUGUAGCAUCCCUGUGCCCUUCUGCUGCAGCAUCCCUGCUGCAGUGCAUCUUUGCACAUCCCUACUAAAGUGUCCCUGUGAAUUCCUGUGCAUCUCUGUGCAUCUCUGCUGCAGCAUCCCAAUGCAACCCAGCUGCAGCAUCCCAAAAAUUCAUGCACACCUCUGCAGCAGUGCAUCCCUUUACAUCCCUUCACAUCCCUUCUGCAGCAUACAUGUGAAUCCCUUGCAUCCCUGCAUAUCUCUACUACAGAAUCCCUGUGCAACUCUGCACAUCUCUGUGCAUCCCUGCUGCAGUACCUCUGCAAAUCCCUGCUGCAGCAUCCUUUUGCAUUCCAGAUGCAGCAUCCCUCCUGCAGCAUCCCUGCUCACCUAUGUGCAGUGUCUGCAUGGUGUGCCCUGGCAGCGUUCCUGCUGCAGCAUCCCUGCAGUGCCCAAGCAAAGCAGGCUGAGAAGCUGCCCCCAUGGCACAGAGAGGCGCGGGGAGGGAACCUGGUGUGGUUUGCCAUCAGGAUGGCAGCUGGGGCCAGCUCAGGCCCUGAAUUCCUGGCUGAGUGCUGUGCACACAGCGCUUAUCUCUCUUGGCUGUGUUUGUGCAGCAGGAGCCAGCCUGCACUGUGGGGUGAGGGACACGGCCGAGCACCCACAGAAGAACAUAGGGCAGUCCUGGGAAUCAAAUCUCUCUCGUCUUUAUGCACCAUGAGCAUUCUAGGGGGAUGCUGAAGGUUUGUGCAACCCUCCAUGAUGCCUGGCUGCACCUUCCUGCUGUGCUGGCAGCAUGGGCAGCUCCAGCCAUGUUUUCCUCCCCGCACUGCAUGAACACAGACAGGAGGACCCCUCGGUGAGCUCACUGAUGCAAUUCUGGCAGCAUCCAACCCCAGGGAGGAGGAGUGAAAUGUGCUGUUAUUCUCUGCCCGAGUCAAGGGAAAGGUUCAAGCACCUUGAAGUUUGACUGUGAUUCUCGUUGAAGCCAGCACAAAUCAUCUUUGCACAGCAGCUUUAUGGGGGCCUGCUGACCUGCCUGGCCUUUACGCUGAGGGAUAGGUUUUUCUACUCAAUGCUGGCACAAACAACUGCAUUUAUUGGCCAAGCCAGACAGCAGAGCAGUGCCUUGCUGCUCUUAGGGAUGACGAGCAUUCCCAUUCUCGUUUCCAACCAUGCCUUCAUACAACUCGUUCCCAAGCAGAGAACCUAGAAUCAUCGAAUCAUAGGAAUAUAUACCCCUGGAAUCAUGGAAUCAUAGACCCAUAGAAUCAUCGAAUCAUAGACCCAUAGAAUCAUGGAAUCAUGGAAUCAUAGGCCCAUAGAAUCAGAAUCAUGGAAUCAUAGAAUCAAGGAAUUGUAGACACGUAGUGUCAGAGAAUCAUGGAAUCAUAGAAUCAUUGACCCACAGAAUCAUGGAAUCAUAGACCAUAGAAUCAUGGAAUUGUAGAAUCAUGGAAUGAUAGAAACAUAGAACCACAGAUUCAAGACCCAUAUAAACAUGGAAUUAUAGAAUCUUAGAACCAUAGAAUCAUAGAACUGUGGAAUUAUAGAACUGUAUAAUCGGAGAACCAAAGAAUCCUAGAUUCGUUGGAGUUGGAAGGAGUCUUCAAAGUUACCUAGUCUAAUUCCCCUUCAAUGAACAGGGAAACGUGGGUGCAUCAGAGCAAACAAACUGGGAGGAGAAGAACCACGAUGCAGAAAACACAUUGCUGGCAGUCAGGGCUGGGGGCGAGGAGUGCAGCCUGCAUUCCUCCCCGCACAUACAUUAUUCGCUGGGGAUUAUUUGCUCAACCCCGAAGUGCGCGCACGCAUUGACAGCUGCUGGUGGAUACAAAGCGUUGCAUUGAGAUGCCCAAUAUGGAGCACAGGGCUGGGAUCUGAAGCUGGGAGCCCCAGGUUUUGUCUACAGGGUGAGGGAUGAAAGCACCUGAAUUGGAAUCUCCUGAGCAUGCGCUGCACCCAUGGGUGUUGCAAGAGUGCGCACACAGGGAUGUGUAUUGCAUAUAAUGCAGGGAUGCAGUCGGAGGUAGAAGCAAGGAUGUGCACGCACAUAUAGGCAGGGAUAUAUAUGCAUGUAGCUGUGGUUGAGGGCAAGUGGGACGAAAUCUUCAGGCGGGCCAUGAAACAGGGAGGCGUGAGCCAGGGUGCUCAUUAGUACCUGGGUAUGACUGCCGCUGACCUGAUGGCAAAUAUGAAAUAUCAAAGCGCUUGUCAGCACUCCUGAAUGGGACAAAGAAAAGGCGCAUUAAUGAUUAACUCCGUUAAAAGCUCAGGCUUUUUUAUUCCCAUGGCGCUCGGACUAUCUCGCUGCCAUGUGACAUGCUUGGGCCAUUUUCUAGCAGAUUGGGGAAAGCUAGUGAGCAAACACAGGUGCUUUAGAGUCAGCAGCGCUGUCAGGGACAACCACAAACAACACCAGCUAUGCCUGCCUAAAUUAGCUCCUGUGUUUGCCUCCAUUUUUGCUUCCUGGAGAUUUUACUUUCUAAGUCCAAUGUCUUUCGCUCCCGUCUUCAACUAUUCACACGCAGUGUUAAAGGGGAGAAAGAAAAGAGAAGAAAAGCGAAAACACACAGAGAGGCUCCUCUUUGAACCAGCCACUGUGCGUGGGGACCGCAUGCAGAAAGGCCCGAGUCAACUAAUUAAAAGGACUCAGCUCUUUAACUGCAAAAACAAAACACGUUUAUUGUGCUCAAGUGGAAUUAUUCGGGUGAUCCUCAGCAAACAACGAGCCCUGCAUGCAUGCAUGCAAUGCUGCUGCUUGUGAGCUCCGUGCCGACACCACGGGUCCCACCGGUGCCACUUGCAGAAGCUGUUUGCGACCUCCCCUCCACCGUGGUUCAGUGUGAAGGUCCCUCUAGCGGUAUUAUUUGUUUUCAUUUUUGCCCCUUCCAUAGCGUGAAUCAGACAGACUUUCUUUUCCUGUUCAAAUAUUUAUAUAUGUGUGUUAUUGCGUCGUGCUUAAACUCCUUGCAAUCAGACCGGGGCAAUAAAGAACAGACUAUCAGCGUGUGGUGAUAAAGGUAGUUGUGAGUAAACAGCAGAAAAUGAAAUAAAGUUAUAAAAAAGAAGGCCUGGGAUGGUAUAAAUGUCUACAAAUAAUCACAAUAUCAACCUGCUCGGUAUUCAAGCAAUUAAGGACAACAGCAGUGAAGCUGUUCUGAAUUUGAGUACUCCCUGGUCCUCAUAAAGUGAGUUCUGCAAGCAGUGGGAGAUGCUGGAGUUUGAAAUCAGCAUCUGGAUCUUGAACCAAGGACACCCGUUGCAGAUGCAGCAUGCUUCACUUGGGGGGGGGGAUUAAAACCUGUGUGUUUAGCGAGAUUACGCUUGAACUGGUCCCAAUUUAUUUUGCCAAAUUGAGCUGCAGCCAAUUUCUCUCCCAUGCGAUGAUGAAUAAAUAUCAUUAAAUAGGAGAAGAUGAAGGCGAUUGAUGCCCUUGUAUUAGCGGGAACUAACAUCGUGUGCUCGAGAAUGAAAGGACAAAAUUGGAGAGAUUUGGAUGCAAAUCAUUCGCAUGAGGAGGAUUAAGCAUGAGGGUACCAGGGAGAAUGGGGUCCAGAAAACCAAAUGCUCAGAAGUGUAGGGAACUGCUGAGGAUUCAUUUCCCUUUGACCCCUUACUUUUGGCUUACAGGGAGCAAAAAUUCCCCCUGUGCAGAACGGUUUGAUUGGAGGCUGUUCUAGGAGAGGGCUGUCACUUAGAUCAUUUAUUAAACCAUCUUAAUGAUCACUUAUUCAAAAAGCACACAGGUUGAUAUUUCCUACUACGACACAAUCAUGGAAUCAUGCAGGUUGGAAAAGACCACAACGACCCCCAAGUCCAACCAUCAGCCCAUCCCCGCCGUGCCCGCUAUCCAACUAACUGUGUUCCUCAGUGCCACGCUAUGAUUCCCAAUUUUCCUGCAGUCACAAAGGAUCAUGCAUGGGAUUUUGCAGCAUGUGAAGGUUGGGGUCUGCACCCAUAAAAGUCCACCCUUGGUGCUGCAAGGCAGCAGUGUGGCUGCCCCAGUCUCCUUUUGUUUGCCAUCCUAUCCCAGCGCCAUUGGGUGUGCUUGCAGAUGGGCCCAGUCGGCUUUUUGCUGCCCUAUAAAACAGGAGGGGAAAAAAAAAAAAAAAAA